rnacentral:rRNA from 1 species
GGAUGAGCCUGCGUCGGAUUAGCUAGUUGGUGGGGUAAAGGCCUACCAAGGCGACGAUCCGUAGCUGGUCUGAGAGGAUGAUCAGCCACACCGGGACUGAGACACGGCCCGGACUCCUACGGGAGGCAGCAGUGGGGAAUAUUGGACAAUGGGGGCAACCCUGAUCCAGCCAUGCCGCGUGUGUGAAGAAGGCUUCCGGGUUGUAAAGCACUUUCAGUGGGGAGGAAAUGGUCAUAGUUAAUACCUGUGACAAUUGACGCUACCCACAGAAGAAGCACCGGCUAACUCCGUGCCAGCAGCCGCGGUAAUACGGAGGGUGCAAGCCUUAAUCGGAAUUACUGGGCGUAAAGCGCGCGUAGGCGGUCUGGUCAGUUGGGUGUGAAAUCCCCGGGCUUAACCUGGGAACUGCAUCCAAUACUGCCAGGCUGGAGUAUGGGAGAGGGUAGUGGAAUUCCACGUGUAGCGGUGAAAUGCGUAGAUAUGUGGAGGAACACCCGUGGCGAAGGCACUGCAUGGCCCAAUACUGACGCUGAGGUGCGAAAGCGUGGGUAGCGAACAGGAUUAGAUACCCUGGUAAUCCACACUGUAAACGAUGUCAACUAGCCGUUGGAGGACUUGAUCUUUUAGUGGCGCAGCUAACGCGAUAAGUUCACCGCCUGGGGAGUACGGCCGCAAGGUUAAAACUCAAAUGAAUUGACGGGGGGCCGCACAAGCGGUGGAGCAUGUGGAUUAAUUCGAGGCAACGCGAAGAACCUUACCAGGUCUCGACAUCCUGAGAAUCCUGUAGAGAUACGGGAGUGCCUUCGGGAAUUCAGUGACAGGUGCUGCAUGGCUGUCGUCAGCUCGUGUCGUGAUAUGUUGGGUUAAGUCCCGUAACGAGCGCAACCCUUGUCCUUAGUUGCUAGCAGGUGAUGCUGAGAACUCUAAGGAGACUGCCGGUGACAAACCGGAGGAAGGUGGGGACGACGUCAAGUCAUCAUGGCCCAUACGACCUGAGCUACACACGUGCUACAAUGGCCGGUACAAAGGGCAGCAAAGCGGUGACGUGGAGCCAAUCCCAUAAAACCGGUCGUAGUCCGGAUUGGAGUCUGCAACUCGACUCCAUGAAGUCGGAAUCGCUAGUAAUCGUAGAUCAGAAUGCUACGGUGAAUACGUUCCCGGGCCUUGUACACACUGCCCGUCACACCAUGGGAGUGGGUUGCACCAGAAGUGGCUAGUCUAACCUUCGGGGGGACGGUCACCACGGUGUGGUUCAUGACUGGGGUGAAGUCGUAACAAGGUA